GGAUCAGCUCUUUGCAGGAGUGGAAACUUAGAAACUUAAAGAAAGACCAUGGAGAAGAAUCUGAUUGGACGUAAUCUGCCAACUGCCUGCGGGGAUGCUGUGAUAGACGUGAGGCCAGACGAGCCUGUGCUCAUCCUCAUCAAACACUGCAGGGACAUGAAGCAACAGGAGGCAAGACUCAGACUCAUUACUCUGUUACUGCUGCUCGGCUGUGCAGCACUGUUCUGCUUCACCAUCAUUUUUGAACAGAGACAGCAGAGAAACUCUGAAGCAGGUGGACAGCGGAGUGCAGCUGAGCAAAGUGCAGCCUACGCCAGGCAAGACAGACUGUGCACCGCAGAUGAGGAUCAAAAUAAAAGCCAAAAACUGCGCAUUGAUCACAGCUUUGUGUGGGAAACCAACAUGACUGAUAAAUUCUACAUCAAAUGGGCUCCCAUACUUGGUGAAGAGCAGGAAGAGAAACAUGCCAUUGUGAUUCCUGAGACAGGCUACUACUACAUCUAUGUGAGGUUUCUUUUGCGAUGCCAAGAUGGUGACGACGACGACAAAGAAGAAAAGUUCAAUCGGUUCUUUAUAGAGCUGCACAAAUGGAAUGAAGGAUACAACAAGGAUAUAAAACUGACAGAGGCCUGGGAUGGUGUCAUGUGUCCACCACACGGACAUCGAACUGUGUUUGUGGGCCAGCUUUUUGAUUUACUGGAAGGAGAUCAUGUGAAAGUGUGGAUUGAAGAUGGCUACAAUCUGAUCAGUAGAUCAUCAUUUGGUGCUUUUAGAGAAUAGAGAAUAUCCUUUUUAGGUGACUAGUGUCUUGCUUACAAAAACAUAUAUGUGGAUGCUUUUAGAAAAAUAGAAUUAUUUAGAUGUGUAUGAUGUAAAUGUCAUAUUGUUAAAGAAAUUAAAGGGACCCUUGGGGACGGGCAGACGGUUCCUCUCCUCUUUACACACAAUGGUGAACCCCUCUUACUGUACUACACUAGAUUAGACUAUAUUCUCACUACUACUUUAAUACUUCACUAGGGGAAAGUGAAAUCAGUGCUGUGUAUAAGGUGUAAUAUAUUUUACUACACAAUUGGGUAUAGCACUACAACAUGGUGACCACUGUAUAGAAUAUAUAGUUAGGUAGGGGUUAGGUUUUGGAUACCGCCACAGGCUUUGCCCGUGUCCCUUCCCAGAGUGGAAGUGCUUGGGCUGCAUGCAGGCCAGUAUGCCCCCCCCCAAGGGCUGACCAUUUGUUUCUAAUGACAAUGGCAGCCAAAGUAAAUGAAAACAAAAUCGUUGGCAUCAGAUUAUUUAUAACAUAAAGGUGAUUUACACGGGUUAGAGAGACCCCCAGUGAAUUGUUGCCUAUACAGACCCAGAUUCUGGAGUUGCAUCUGUCUGUCAGUGCCAGCUUUUUUUUUUUAAUCAAAGUACAAAAAGCUACAUUUUUUUAGUUUUAAUGACUUAGUUAAAUAUAGUUUGAACAAUGUAUAUGUCUUUGAAUACUGAUGAUUUUUAUACAGUAUAUCAGUACUGUGUACUAAAGGAUGUCCUUUGUAGUUAAUUCUAAUAAAGAAACUGUUGCUGAGUUAGUGAAAGUGAAA
ensembl:lncRNA uncharacterized LOC114443923